UCGGGGAAUGAAACCCACCGGCUGCGCUGCACGUGCGGGGCAGCUGUCUGGCUGGAGUGAAGCGCCUGCGCGUGAGGAUUUACUGCCGUCGAGGGGCGGAUUAGCAUCCCCGCCCCCUCGCUUUAUGACUCUCAGCUCUAGGGAAGGGAUGAGAUGACUUAUAAAGGCCACUUCGGAACCAACCGACUACCUAGAUGUUGUUCAUUUUGCAUCAAGACUUCAGGAGCUGGUGUGCGAGCCUCCGCGUGGUACCCAGCACAUCUCUGGACUCAGCAGCCGUGGUGGCCGCUGCCACCCUCAGCCUCAAAGUCUCAAAGCCUCGGGACAGAAAGCCCCUGCAGCUGUGUCUCCCUUCCGUUCUUAUCGGUUAUUCACCUGUGACGUAAUAAGGGCUGUGGCCACCCAGUAACAAUAAAUCUGGUCAUUUCGGUUGAGCCAUGUAA